UGGGGAAUAUUGGACAAUGGGGGCAACCCUGAUCCAGCAAUGCCGCGUGUGUGAAGAAGGCCUGCGGGUUGUAAAGCACUUUCAGUGGGGAAGAAAAGCUCGGGACUAACAAUCCCGGGUCUUGACGUUACCCACAGAAGAAGCACCGGCUAACUCCGUGCCAGCAGCCGCGGUAAUACGGAGGGUGCGAGCGUUAAUCGGAAUUACUGGGCGUAAAGCGCACGCAGGUGGUUGGGUAAGUCGGAUGUGAAAGCCCUGGGCUUAACCUGGGAACUGCAUUCGAUACUGCCCGGCUAGAGUAUGGGAGAGGGAAGCGGAAUUUCCGGUGUAGCGGUGAAAUGCGUAGAUAUCGGAAGGAACACCAAUGGCGAAGGCAGCUUCCUGGCCCAAUACUGACGCUCAGGUGCGAAAGCGUGGGGAUCAAACAG
rnacentral:rRNA from 1 species